rnacentral:tRNA from 1 species
CUCGGCGCGACCCCGAUCGUCAUGCAGCUGCCGAUCGGUGCCGAGGCCGACUUCCAGGGCGUCGUCGACCUGGUGACGAUGA